rnacentral:rRNA from 1 species
CCAGCCAUACCGCGUGGGUGAAGAAGGCCUUCGGGUUGUAAAGCCCUUUUGUUGGGAAAGAAAAGCAGUCGGCUAAUACCCGGUUGUUCUGACGGUACCCAAAGAAUAAGCACCGGCUAACUUCGUGCCAGCAGCCGCGGUAAUACGAAGGGUGCAAGCGUUACUCGGAAUUACUGGGCGUAAAGCGUGCGUAGGUGGUUGUUUAAGUCUGUUGUGAAAGCCCUGGGCUCAACCUGGGAAUUGCAGUGGAUACUGGGCGACUAGAGUGUGGUAGAGGGUAGUGGAAUUCCCGGUGUAGCAGUGAAAUGCGUAGAGAUCGGGAGGAACAUCCAUGGCGAAGGCAGCUACCUGGACCAACACUGACACUGAGGCACGAAAGCGUGGGGAGCAAACAGGAUUAGAUACCCUGGUAGUCCACGCCCUAAACGAUGCGAACUGGAUGUUGGGUGCAAUUUGGCACGCAGUAUCGAAGCUAACGCGUUAAGUUCGCCGCCUGGGGAGUACGGUCGCAAGACUGAAACUCAAAGGAAUUGACGGGGGCCCGCACAAGCGGUGGAGUAUGUGGUUUAAUUCGAUGCAACGCGAAGAACCUUACCUGGUCUUGACAUGUCGAGAACUUUCCAGAG